rnacentral:rRNA from 1 species
GGUUGAAGGUUGAGUAACAUCAACUGGAGGACCGAACCGACUAAUGUUGAAAAAUUAGCGGAUGACUUGUGGCUAGGGGUGAAAGGCCAAUCAAACUCGGAGAUAGCUGGUUCUCCCCGAAAGCUAUUUAGGUAGCGCCUCGGACGAAUACUACUGGGGGUAGAGCACUGUUAAGGCUAGGGGGUCAUCCCGACUUACCAACCCUUUGCAAACUCCGAAUACCAGUAAGUACUAUCCGGGAGACACACGGCGGGUGCUAACGUCCGUCGUGGAGAGGGAAACAACCCAGACCGCCAGCUAAGGUCCCAAAGUAUUGCUAAGUGGGAAACGAUGUGGGAAGGCUCAGACAGCUAGGAUGUUGGCUUAGAAGCAGCCAUCAUUUAAAGAAAGCGUAAUAGCUCACUAGUCGAGUCGGCCUGCGCGGAAGAUGUAACGGGGCUAAGCAAUACACCGAAGCUGCGGCAAUGUCUUUUAGACAUUGGGUAGGGGAGCGUUCUGUAAGCCGUUGAAGGUGAAUCGUAAGGUUUGCUGGAGGUAUCAGAAGUGCGAAUGCUGACAUGAGUAACGACAAAGGGGGUGAAAAACCUCCUCGCCGGAAGACCAAGGGUUCCUGUC